rnacentral:rRNA from 1 species
UCGAGAAUCUUCGGCAAUGGGCGAAAGCCUGACCGAGCGACGCCGCGUGGAGGAUGAAGGCCUUCGGGUUGUAAACUCCUGUCGGAGGGGAAGAAAUUUUGACUACCCCCUCGGAGGAAGUCCGGGCUAAGUUCGUGCCAGCAGCCGCGGUAACACGAACCGGGCAAACGUUAUUCGGAAUUACUGGGCUUAAAGGGUGCGUAGGCUGCGCUAUAAGUCGGGUGUGAAAUCCCUCAGCUCAACUGAGGAACUGCGCCCGAUACUGUAGUGCUUGAGGAGGAUAGAGGUGAGCGGAACUAGCAGUGGAGCGGUGAAAUGCGUUGAUAUUGCUGGGAACACCCGUGGCGAAAGCGGCUCACUGGGUCCUUUCUGACGCUGAGGCACGAAAGCUAGGGGAGCGAACGGGAUUAGAUACCCCGGUAGUCCUAGCCGUAAACGAUGAGCACUAGAUCGGGGAGACCUCCACAUCUUCCCGAUCGUAGCGAAAGUGUUAAGUGCUCCGCCUGGGGA